AAAAAAAAAAAAAAUGAGCUUAGUGGAGGAGGGAAAAACCUUUGUUCUCCUUCAGUUCAAGGGCUGCCAUUGCAGCAGGUGAAACAAAGCUCUGGCUGUGUGGGGUUUUGUGUUGCUUUAUAUUAGGUGAGCUGCUCUGAGGCAAAACCCUGUUUCCUGUGUCCUUCAUGGGCCAGACACUGUGCUGGGGCUUGAAGGGCAGAAACAAGGCUGAGGUGGCCUCUGCCCUUCUGAAGGUCACAGUUGAGCUGGGGAGACAGAUGGUACAGGAGAUCCCGCACCAACAGAGCGUCGCCACAUGUGGCAAUGACGGCUCCACAGGAAACCCACUAGGCAUGAGGGUAAAGAUCAGAGCUAGGACCGCUUUGGACCGGAGGCGCUCUCUGGCGGGUCUUUCUGAGCAGAGGAUAUUUCAGGCAAGUCAAGGAUGAAGCAGAGGGGCUGACAGUGAAUAGUGGGAUGAAGGAGGCCCAGGAGGUGGGCCUGGCGUGUGUCCUGUUCACCUGUAGAGCCAUGAGCUGGGCUGCUGGGUAAGGGUGGGGUGUGAGAGGCUGGCUUCCCGUUCAGGAGUUUGACCUUCUCCCAAAUGCAAAGGGUAGGUAGUGUGCUCAGAAAUCCAACGACGGAGCGCCUCUGCCUCCACUCAGCGCCUACUACAAAUGUGCUGAAUGAGCAAAAAAUACAGUAGAUGGAUGUUGCAUGCUCAGAAACAUUCCAUUUUAUUUUAUUUUUAAACUUUGGUUUCGAUUUCUAUUAUAUAAAAAGUCACUUCCAUUUAGAUUUGUUUUCACUGCAAGACCAAGCUACAGUGGGGAGAACAGGGUCUGGUGUGUAGCCACGUGCCUGCAGCUAGAGGGACACAGCCUGAGAUGCCCUCCCACUGACUGCCUGGACCUCAUGAAGUGCUUUCACGAACCAAUCUGUCCCCUUUGUUGUCACCAGACAUGCUAGGCUGAGCAGGUAUUCAUAUAGUCUCCACUUUGAAAAUAAGGAUGCAGAGCCUGGGAGAAUGGAAAAGACUUGGCAAGGUCUCUGGAACAUGUGCCUGUGUUCUGGUAAGCUUUUUGUGAGCCUGAGGCAAAUGGUGGCCACAUUCAGAAUGACUUGGGCUGCUAGCAGUGGUCUCAGAGGCCUUUGCUGGAGGAGUCUGUGGUGAGCGGGAAGGAGCUUAGGGUGGCUCUGACAGACCAUCCCCACUCCCCUUACCACUUCCACAUAGUCAAGCCCUUGGUUGGUGUCUGCUCAUCAGGUGGACGGGAGACUCCACGUCCGUAACCCCACUCUGUGCCCACUGGGUGUCCACAUCCUAAACUUCAUUAGGACUCUGAAGUCCUGAGGUUGGGGAGGGACCAAAAAGAUCAAUGGAAGUUCUGGCUGUCUCCCCCAUCCCUACACUUAAAUGUUUGUGACUGGAAUGAUUCUGGAUAUGCUAACUGUCGACUGAUGAGCAUCUUGGUCCUCUGGUAUCCUGAAGUCCUGGCCCAGUCUCCUCCUUGGACUUGUUUCCAAGGGAGUCUACUGUGAUCACUAGGAUCACCCCUUAUCAUGUGAGAUUCAUUUAGGUGUGUCAGCAUUUGGGGACACGUGUGACAUUCAGAAUAGCUAGUGUAGAUCUUCAACUACCUUCCAUUCUAUGUUUCCUGGCAGGAGUCCACUGGUAAUUCUUUGAAGCAAAACAAUACUUUUGCAACUUAAUCAUCAGCAUUUGGAAUACAGUAUCUCUUGUCUGAGCUUGAAUGGAAAGAACCCACAGUCUGUGACUUCUAGCCAUUUAGAAAAAUGGCAGUUGCCAUAAGACGUGAACUUGGCAUUUGAAAUCAGCAGACAACGAAGAGUUAGUGUAAUGUAAAGAGACAAACAUGGGAUUUGGAUAUGAGGAGGGCUGGGUUCCACAUGCUUUUCACUUGCUGUCAUGGGACUUUGGAGUGGACAAUUUUCAUGAUCUCACUAAAGCCCAUUUUUAUCACCUUUUAAAUGGGGGAUAAUACCAUCUACCUCAUAAUAUAUUUGUGAGGAUUAAAAGAGAGGAAUUAAAAUACCUGGCACAUAAGAAACACUCAAGAAAUAUUAGUUUCUCUGCCCCUUUACUCUUAAUGAUUUAAUUAAUCACUCCAAAAAUAGAACAUUCUUCAGAAUAGACUCCUACCCAUUUGUUGUUGAUGGGACAUCCAAAGGGAUGUGCAGUUCUUUUGUAUGGUGUAUAAUAACUUGACUUUGCACCUUAAAAGGGGAAAAAGGAAACCUCUGGUACCUUAAACAAUGACCCUUUUAAAGUCUGCGCUGGGCACCAUUCUCAAAGAAUAUUCUUAUUAACAUACUUUCUUAUAAAUGGAGCUCUACUGAUCAAAUAUGUAUAAGUUAGUAGCCUGCAGAGUCAGAGCAGUGCUUGGCAAGCCUGAGGACGUUUCCCAUGUGCGCUGUGGGAUGGCAUAGGCAGGGGAUACCCUUUCAUUUUGUGACAUGAUUUGGGGGGCUCCAAUGUGAGGUACUCUUGGCAUGGUUUCUUCCAGCUCUGGGCCUGUUCUGGGGCCUGUCAGGACUCCCACAUAUCCCAUCCUUGCAGGCAACUCCCUUUGAAGUCCAUGAGAACUCUUUGAAUGGAAAACAUACACAACGGGGUGUUGAUGCCAGUAAGAAUCAGGCCUGAUGUAUGCGAGGAAUAAAGGUGCUUCUCACCCCAAAUAUUAGCUCUUUAGCCCAGAAAUUAUGGUUUGAUCAUUAAAUAAAAGAGCACUCCCCUCCUCUCACAAUCCACCACCAAAGCUCCACCAUCCAUUUGCUCUGGAGAUGAUAAACCUGCUAAUUGCUGGAGAGUUUUAAUUAAGCAACAGCUAUAGACAGUGUAGGGCUGUGUUUUUACUUUAAACAUAUCAAUAGAAUAAACAUUCUCAAUUCCAGGGCAACUUGCUAAAUGAAAAAAAAAAAAUAAACAUUACUUUCUUUUGAAAUAUCACUCAUUGGGUGUGAUAAUUUAGAAAAAUAUCCCUAUUAGAGAUAGUUAGGGACGUUUUUUUCUUUUUCUUUUUUUCUUUUUUGGUUGAAAAUGCAAUCGCCGAUGGAGCACAAAGCUGCAAUUUGUAGACAGGUUAAGUAAAUUAAAUCACUCACUGUCUUUUUCUUUUUUCCAAUGGCUUUAAAAGUUAAAGGUAAUUUGCAAAGAAAAUGCUCAGUUUGAAUUGGUUUGUAAUAUCUGUUAAUGAUCUUUAAAAAAAUCCACUUAUUCACAAUUCUGUCCCUGGGGGAAUUCCGAUGUGCUAUCAGAAAAAAUUUCUAAAGUCUGAAAUGUCAUUAGCUGGUGAUUUCUUUGAAGUAAAAAGCCCCGAAAAAAAUAAAUUAUAUAAGGUAUACAAGUGCACAGGACAAUCACUUUGAUGAAUAGUAUCUCUUUUUUUCGUAAUGUUUCAUACCUAAAAAUGCAACAAUUGAAAUUCAAGCUGGUAAAUUAUAGAGCCAUCUUUUGAAUUACCUCAAUGUAGGCAUGCCUUCUGUUUAUUUCUCACAUAUAUUGAGUUCUUCCAUGUAUUUAUAGAUUGUUGAUAUAAAAACAGUAGUGUUAGGAACAAUUUUGAUUAUAUUCAUUGUGUUUACUUUUUGGAAACACAAGGUGUUGCCUAAAUACAGGCAUACAGGUGUUGCCAUCCGGGGAUUAAAACAAUAGCCUAUUUCAAUAUUCCAUCCUGGAUCCCAGAGCCAGGUGCCGUGAAUGGAGGUGCACAUGCUACUCAGCCCGAGAGAGUUGUUCAAUAUUAGAUAACAGAGCCAUGAAAUACUACACCAAAGGGAAAAUUUUCUUCCUGACCCCAGCUAGUGAUCAGUUUUUGCCUGGAAGCAGGGGAGUCUUUGUAAUACAAUACUUGUCAAUGUUGCUGGUUUGGCUGCUAUAAAUAGCUAUUUUUUUUUUUUUUUUUUUGGAGGAUGGGAGGAGUUGGAUUUUACUAAACUGUUGGCUACAGGUUAAUUAUACAUUUCACACAAAAGCAUUUCUUGUAGCCAGUCUAAAUUUGUUACGUUUUAAUCCCAUUUUAUAGAAGGCUAGAAAUAUAUGAGCCUCCAGCAGGCCCGUUAUUAUUGUCAUUAUUUUAUACAUUGGACCUUCAGCUCUCUCUCUCUCUUUUUUUCUUUUUCCUCUCUAUGCAUUACUCACCUCUUAGCUAAAUUGCAGAGGGUCCCAGUUUCAUUCAUUCUCCCUUAUAGGGAGGGCAUUCACUUCCUCUUCCUCCAGCGGCCUGAAAAUCAUAUGUGUGGUUUUUCCUCUUUCCUGCUCUGUAGCGGACAUCAGGGGAGCAAACUGAACACAGGAAAAUGGAAAUCAACAUUUGAAACUUUUAAAUGGAAGCUUUAUUGGGGUUCCACAUAUGGAAAACUGCAAAUAGCAGAAGUGUGUGACUUGAUAAAUUAAUCUGGAGUGACCACAUCCUCUAACUGCCUCCCAGGACAAGAAGGAGAAUGUGAACAAUGCUCCUGAAGGCCCCUUUCCCUCAAAGAAUCACUGCAGUUGAAGGAAAAAUGCUCCAUGUCCCCUCUGCAUGUUGGUAUUUAUCAAAGGACGACGGAGGAAGAGAGACAAAGUGCCUGGAUGUGUGUGUUAAUCAAGAGUUGUCAGGACCCUGCCUCUAAAAGAAAGUGCUAAAAUGAUGCUUUUGACAAGACUUUUCUCAAAGUGGAUGCAGUCUAAGGGUUGGAAAACAAGUCCCAAUCAGGCUAGGUGCGACUUGUCACCUGCUUUCGUAAAUAAAGUUUUAUUGGCUCACAGACACAUCCAUUUGUUUUGUAUUAUCUAUGGCUGCUUUCGCUCCACAACAUGGAGUAGUUGUGAAAGAGACCAUAUGGCUGACAAAGACUAAGAUAUUUACUCUCUGGCUUUUGACAGGAAAAGUUUGCCAAUUCCUGAUGUUCUCCAUCCAGUUCAUUACCAAUACCUUCUCCAUAAUGAGAAAUAAAUUUGUAGGUAUUUUUACAUAGUACUUAUUUGAAGAAAUGCUCAGGGCCUUUGGCUGUGAGUUAAUUUUAUGAGUAUUCGGAGCAGGUAUAUGGAUGACAGGCAGCAAGAAUGAUUUAAGGUAAGAAGUCAUGGUUAGAGAUAAGAUUCUGCCAUUAUUGUCUCAGGGAUAAAUCACUGAUUAUGGCCAUCUUUUUCUCUGCCUGCUCUCUGGAGGAGAAAGUGUACACAUAUCUGGGAUUUCUAGCUUGGAGUGCACCUUUAUUAACUACAUCAAGGCAUUAUGGUCAACAUUGUGGACUUCUGCUUUCACGACAAAAGAUGAACAUCCUUUCCCACCAUUUGGUGGUUGGGAGGAUCAAGUGAGAGAAUGUGAAUCCAUGUGUUUUCUAAACCAUAUAGGUACUGUAUUGGUGGUAUAGAUGCUAUCUAUAAAACUUUAGAAUAAAUUAUCAUCCUCAUUUGGCAUGCGAGGAAAUGUGAUUUAGGUAGCAUGCCCAAGAUCAUAUAGUAAGCCAGUAGAACAGCUGGCAGUUACUUCUCCUGGCUUUAAGUCACUGCUCUUUCCAGUAUACCAUAAUGCUUCUUUACAUCAUGUGUCUUUCUAUGGUUUUGGAAAUGUUCAGUCUUUUAGUUCAUUGGUUCACUCAUUCAUCUGCUAUUUAACAUCAUUUAGGAGCCUUGUAUGAGCUAGAAAAAGAGCUGAAAUUUUCCAGGGAGUGAUAACUGUAUCAAGAUGAGUUGUAACUCUUCAGUUGUUUUGCUCUUAGACUCCUGUGGCUGGAAUCCUCCAGAAGUCCGUAGAUUCUUCUUCUGGUUUUUUUCUGUGCUGUCCAAGGAGUUGGCUUUUAUUUGUGCCAUGGAGAAAGAGAAAGUAGAUGAACUUGGAGAGGGAGAGUAAUCCUAUUGUUCUACAAAAUGUUGCCUGACACCUUGUUUUACAUUGUGUGCAUGUACAUGUCUCUUGAGUGCACAUACCGUGAAAGGAGAGAGAAAGAGAGAUACUGAAAUGUUGAUAGCAGAUUGUUCCAGCAACUGAAAGAUGAAAAUGAUCCAGGCUUGGGAAAUGUGAAAGCUAAGAUUUUGUACAUGAAGUCCAAGUGAAUCCAUAUCAAAGAAAUUUCAGAUGUGAAUUACCCAGCUAAGCAACAUAUAUUAAACAUGAGUGCGCCAGAUAUAGGCUUAUUUUAUCAUACCAUUCAAUACAGUUCUUCAUUCAGAUUAUAUUUGUUCAAUGAUGUGUCUUGUACUUUUUGAGAUGAGAUGAUACCUGGAGGAAGCAGCUUCGGCCAAAAUAUUGGAUUUGCCUUGUCAUAGUAAGAGAAGUACUUAAAGGUUUCUGAUUUUGAUAUUUGCCCUUUUAGUGGGGGAAGUUUGCCAAUAUUUUCCUUAUAUUCAAUGUUACUAGAUACUUGUUGUAUGAGUUUGUUCUUACACUGCUAUGAAGAGAUACUCCAGACUUGGUAAUUUAUAAAGAAAAGAGGUUUAAUUGACUCACAGUUCUGUGUGGCUGGAGGGACCUCAGGAAACUCACAAUCAUGGUGGAAGAUGAAGCAGGUAUGUCCUUCUUCACAUGGUGGCAGGAGAGACAAGUGCUGAGCAAAGGGGGAAAAGUCCCUUAAAAACCAUCAGAUCUCAUGAGAACUCACUCACUAUCAUGAGAACAGCAUGAGGGUAACUGCACCCAUGAUUCAGUUGCCUCCCACCAUGUGUCCCUCCCAUGAUACAUGGGGAUUAUGGGAACUACAAUGGGCUAUGGUGGGCACAUAAACUGUAUCACUUGUUGUUAUCAGAUUUAUUGGUGAACCUAAAAGUAAUAUGAUUCUCUAAAACAAAGGUGCCAAUGAAGUUGCCUAAUGAAAAAAACAACCUUCCAGAAUCUUCCAUUAUACAGUUGUCACCUACAAAGACCUCUGAGCGGUCCUGUAGAGAGUUCUGCCUUACUCUCCUUAUUUGCACCACAAAAGGCAGUCUCAGCUUUGCUGACUGAAUAUGGAGGUGAUAGUAUCAAUUCUGUGAUUCAUCCAUAAAGUAUGCUACCUCUCAGAUAUUCCUAGGACCCAGGACACUGCUGUUUUAAGAAACAUAAUUUGUUUCAUCAUACAAAAGGCAUAUCCUUAGCAGGAUGUAGUGCUGCUACAGAUAAGACAUUUUGUCUGUAAGGAAGUCGUCAACAUUAAUUUAUUUAACUUUCUUCUAACAGAGUGAAUUUUCUUCCAUUUGCUGUGGAGUACACUUCUUUCUAAUUCUAUUCACUUAGCAGG